GUGAGGAAUAUUGCGCAAUGGAGGCAACUCGGACGCAGCCAUGCCGCGUGCAGGAAGAAGGCGCUACGCGUUGUAAACUGCUUUUAACCGGGAAGAAACCCCAGGACGUGUCCUGGGUUGACGGUACCGGAGGAAUAAGCACCGGCUAACUUCGUGCCAGCAGCCGCGGUAAUACGAAGGGUGCAAGCGUUAUCCGGAUUCAUUGGGUUUAAAGGGUGCGUAGGCGGAGCGUUAAGUCAGUGGUGAAAUCCUGCAGCUUAACUGUAGACUUGCCAUUGAUACUGGCGCUCUUGAGUGCGCUUGAAGUGGGCGGAAUGUGCCGUGUAGCGGUGAAAUGCUUAGAUAUGGCACAGAACACCAAUUGCGAAGGCAGCUCACUAAGGCGAUACUGACGCUGAGGCACGAAAGCGUGGGGAUCGAACAGGAUUAGAUACCCCUGUAGUCC
rnacentral:rRNA from 1 species